CCAUGCAAGUCGAACGAGAAUCUGUGGAUCGAGGAUUCGUCCAAGUGAAGCAGAGGACAGUGGCGGACGGGUGAGUAACGCGUGAGGAACCUGCCUUUCAGAGGGGGACAACAGUUGGAAACGACUGCUAAUACCGCAUGAUACAUUUGGGUGGCAUCAUCUGAAUGUCAAAGAUUUAUCGCUGAAAGAUGGCCUCGCGUCUGAUUAGCUAGUUGGUGGGGUAACGGCCCACCAAGGCGACGAUCAGUAGCCGGACUGAGAGGUUGACCGGCCACAUUGGGACUGAGAUACGGCCCAGACUCCUACGGGAGGCAGCAGUGGGGAAUAUUGGGCAAUGGGCGCAAGCCUGACCCAGCAACGCCGCGUGAAGGAAGAAGGCUUUCGGGUUGUAAACUUCUUUUAAGAGGGAAGAGCAGAAGACUGUACCUCUAGAAUAAGCCACGGCUAACUACGUGCCAGCAGCCGCGGUAAUACGUAGGUGGCAAGCGUUGUCCGGAUUUACUGGGUGUAAAGGGCGUGCAGCCGGGAAUGCAAGUCAGAUGUGAAAUCCAUGGGCUUAACCCAUGAACUGCAUUUGAAACUGUAUUUCUUGAGUACUGGAGAGGCAAUCGGAAUUCCUAGUGUAGCGGUGAAAUGCGUAGAUAUUAGGAGGAACACCAGUGGCGAAGGCGGAUUGCUGGACAGCAACUGACGGUGAGGCGCGAAAGUGUGGGGAGCAAACAGGAUUAGAUACCCUGGUAGUCCACACUGUAAACGAUGAAUACUAGGUGUGCGGGGACUGACCCCCUGCGUGCCGCAGUUAACACAAUAAGUAUUCCACCUGGGGAGUACGAUCGCAAGGUUGAAACUCAAAGGAAUUGACGGGGGCCCGCACAAGCGGUGGAUUAUGUGG
rnacentral:rRNA from 1 species